rnacentral:rRNA from 1 species
UACGUAGGGUGCAAGCGUUGUCCGGAAUUAUUGGGCGUAAAGAGCUUGUAGGCGGUUUGUCGCGUCUGCUGUGAAAUUUCGGGGCUCAACCCUGAACUUGCAGUGGGUACGGGCAGACUAGAGUGUGGUAGGGGAGACUGGAAUUCCUGGUGUAGCGGUGAAAUGCGCAGAUAUCAGGAGGAACACCGAUGGCGAAGGCAGGUCUCUGGGCCGACUACUGACGCUGAGAAGCGAAAGCAUGGGGAGCGAACAGG